rnacentral:lncRNA from 1 species
CAUCUCAUUACUUAAGAUCACUAAUUUAAAAAUGCUUGGCCUAUAGGUUGGUUGUUAAUAAAUGCUCAGUGCUGCCUUGAAGAUAAAGGCAGUUACUACCACUAGGAAUUGGUUUAAAGUAAGCUUGUAAGACUAAUAUUUUUUUUAAUCCCAGUGCUAUCACUGCAAUUUAAGAAAUAGGAAAUUCUUUAAAGAAAAAUUAGGAUUAUGAUGAUAAAUUACUAGAUGUAAAUAUUUUAUGGUCAUUUUACUUCCCUGGGAGUGAUAAUCCAGGUCUAAUUAUUCCAUCUUUCAUUUUAUUCUAAAAGAGCUGGUUCCCAACUAUUCUCAUGCUACACAUUUCCCAGUCACUCUCUUUCAGACUCCUUUAACUGGGAAAAGGAACUAAGGGGCUCCUUCCCCAGUUAAGGGAGACAAAGAAGAGAGUGACCAUUCAGUGCUCAAUCUCCUCCCAUCGAGCUGGGGACCCAGGAAAGAACAAGGUUGGAAGCAAAGAAGUCACAGGAUGCUCGCACAUUAAGAUCAGCUCAGUUUUGCAAGAUUACCCAUGGGUUCUAGAAGGCAAAGCCAGUGAGUGUUGCACUUGCAUCUCUGGGUCUGAGACAGGCAGAUACAAAGGGUGUGAGCUGGAAGAUGGACACUGUUUCCUGUACUCACAUGUAAUAGGGAUUGAAGAACAGAAGCAGGUAUGCCAAGGGUGAGAACUGGCCCCCAACCUUGCUUCAGAGCCCCCUACUUGUAUGUAACACCCAUCAAGACUAAUUGUGCUUAUAACCAUCCCCAUCAUUCCUAGCAACACCCUAAGCAGAAGAGAGGGUAGGAUAAGACCCAUCUAGAAACACUAAUAGUGGGAACCCUUAGCAACUGCCUUCUCCUCAAAUAUGGGCAAUAUGGCACCCCAGACCCAUGAUCAGAUGUCCAAGAUAGAACAUCUGCAGUGCAAAAUAUGUUUAGAAUUGAGUAAAUGUCAACUCAGUAAUAACUAAAU